AGAGUUUGAUCAUGGCUCAGAGCGAACGCUGGCGGCAGGCCUAAUACAUGCAAGUCGAGCGCCCCUUCGGGGGAGCGGCGGACGGGUGAGUAACGCGUGGGAAUGUGCCCUUUGGUACGGAACAACACAGGGAAACUUGUGCUAAUACCGUAUGUGCCCUUCGGGGGAAAGAUUUAUCGCCAUUGGAGCAGCCCGCGUUGGAUUAGCUAGUUGGUAGGGUAAAGGCCUACCAAGGCUACGAUCCAUAGCUGGUCUGAGAGGAUGAUCAGCCACACUGGGACUGAGACACGGCCCAGACUCCUACGGGAGGCAGCAGUAGGGAAUCUUGCGCAAUGGGCGAAAGCCUGACGCAGCCAUGCCGCGUGAAUGAUGAAGGUCUUAGGAUUGUAAAAUUCUUUCACCGGGGAAGAUAAUGACGGUACCCGGAGAAGAAGCCCCGGCUAACUUCGUGCCAGCAGCCGCGGUAAUACGAAGGGGGCUAGCGUUGCUCGGAAUUACUGGGCGUAAAAGGGCGCGUAGGCGGAUACUUAAGUUAGAGGUGAAAGCCCAGGGCUCAACCCUGGAAUAGCCUUUAAUACUAGGUAUCUUGAGUUCGGGAGAGGUGAGUGGAACUCCGAGUGUAGAGGUGAAAUUCGUAGAUAUUCGGAAGAACACCAGUGGCGAAGGCGACUCACUGGCCCGAUACUGACGCUGAGGCGCGAAAGCGUGGGGAGCAAACAGGAUUAGAUACCCUAGUAGUCC
rnacentral:rRNA from 1 species